rnacentral:misc_RNA from 1 species
CCCUUGUGGAGGAGGACGCCGAAGGUGGGGCUAAUGACUGGGGUGAAGUCGUAACAAGGUAGCCGUACCGGAAGGUGCGGCUGGAUCACCUCCUAACAGGGAGACAACAAAAUGUUUAAUAUUAUUAUUUUGUCACCUUAGGUCGAUCGGUAUCUCACGUUCUUAAAUUUAUUAAGAAUUUCAUUUCCUAAGUUUUUCUAGGUCACACCCAUUAUUUUUCCUGGGCCAUUAGCUCAGGUGGUUAGAGCGCACCCCUGAUAAGGGUGAGGUCCCUGGUUCAAGUCCAGGAUGGCCCAUAUCUCUAUGUUGGGGGUAUAGCUCAGUUGGUAGAGCGCCUGCUUUGCAAGCAGGAUGUCAGCGGUUCGAGUCCGCUUACCUCCACUGAUUACCACCUCUUCCAUAAUAUUUAGAAAGGAAAUGUAUUGAGUUGUGAUCAAAUUCUGAACGAAUCUAGCUUCCUAAUGAAUUCAUUAAGAUGCUGGACUCAUUGAAUUAAUUUCAUUGUUUUCAGAGAACCUUGACAACUGCAUAGAUUAUUUAAAAAACAAUAAGCAUCUUUAAUGAUGCAGAUUUAUUAUUUGUGCGAAUGCAUUAAUAACAAUUCUAUUAAGCUGAUGCUUCAAUUUUGAAGUUAUUGGUCAAGCUACAAAGGGCUCAUGGAGGAUACCUAGGCACACAGAGGCGA